AACGAACGCUGGCGGCAUGCCUAACACAUGCAAGUCGAACGAGACCUUCGGGUCUAGUGGCGCACGGGUGCGUAACGCGUGGGAACCUGCCCUUAGGUUCGGAAUAACUCCCCGAAAGGGGUGCUAAUACCGGAUAAUGUCUUCGGACCAAAGAUUUAUCGCCUUUGGAUGGGCCCGCGUUGGAUUAGCUAGUUGGUAGGGUAAAAGCCUACCAAGGCGACGAUCCAUAGCUGGUCUGAGAGGAUGAUCAGCCACACUGGGACUGAGACACGGCCCAGACUCCUACGGGAGGCAGCAGUGGGGAAUAUUAGACGAUGGGCGAAAGCCUGAUCCAGCAAUGCCGCGUGAGUGAUGAAGGCCUUAGGGUUGUAAAGCUCUUUUACCCGGGAUGAUAAUGACAGUACCGGGAGAAUAAGCUCCGGCUAACUACGUG
rnacentral:rRNA from 1 species